rnacentral:rRNA from 1 species
AGCAGUCGCCGCGGGAACACGUAGGGUGCGAGCGUUAAUCGGAAUUACUGGGCGUAAAGCGUGCGCAGGCGGUUAUAUAAGACAGAUGUGAAAUCCCCGGGCUCAACCUGGGACCUGCAUUUGUGACUGUAUAGCUAGAGUACGGUAGAGGGGGAUGGAAUUCCGCGUGUAGCAGUGAAAUGCGUAGAUAUGCGGAGGAACACCGAUGGCGAAGGCAAUCCCCUGGACCUGUACUGACGCUCAUGCACGAAAGCGUGGGGAGCAAACAGGAUUAGAGACCCGCGUAGUCCCUGUCUCUUAUAC